rnacentral:lncRNA from 1 species
AAGGAGACACUCAUGAGAAAGAGCCAACGUGGGAUGAUGCACUGAGGAAAGGCACGCAAGAGUACCAACACUAUUCGUAUAACAUAUUGACAUGCAACUGUCAUUCCUUUGUAGCCAACAACCUGAACCGUCUUGCGAUAAGAUCAGGUGGAUGGAACGUGGUGAAUCUCGCGGCGCUAGUGUUCCUCAAGGGACGUUGGGUGAGCAAAACUGCGAUGGUCAAGUCUUUACUGCCUACAGUUAUAAUCUACGCUAUAGGAAUGUUACUAGGUGGUUGGACAUUCUUAGCUUCCUGCUGUGUUCUAGCCUGUUUACUUACGGGUUGGUUCAUCAUGGGAACGUAUUGUUUCAAGAAACUGAUCCAGUUGUAGAUUUGAUUUUUGAUCCAAGGAUUUGGUUAUGAAGGUUAUUUGACCAAGACUGUUGAAAUAUAAAACAGUACAUCAUUUUGCUUGUUUUGACUGGAGAUGGCAAGGUCUUCGUCUCUGUGUGGUGUCUUAUUCCUUGGUUUGCUUUUCAUACUCUCGAUCUGUCUCAUCGUCGAAUAUUUCCGAUUUGAAGACGCGCCCAUGUACUAAUUAACAUAUGCCCAUAAGAACUGAAAUCCUUGUUCUUUCUUGAAUCUGAAUUUAUAGAUUGUAUGUGUGUUUACAAGUUACUGUUGUUUCAUCAUUGCUAUGACGAGAGCAAUGAAAGAUUGAAAACGGACCAGCCGUAUAGUUGUGUGACGAUUAGACGACAACAUGCUUGUCAUCUUUAUGGACUAGUGAAGAAACUAUAUGGUGUUGUAUGAAUUGCAACUUUUUUGCUUUGGUAAAAUGUUAAGAUAAUUGCAAGUUUGUUGACCAAAAAAAGAAAGAAUUGCAAGUUUGUUUCUCUUUUUGUAUAAUAUGUCUAUAAUGUAUAUUCAAUACCUUUUUUAUCAACUAUUAUAUUUAUAUAAAUUGAAAAAGACAUACAAAAUACAUAGAAUUAUAAAACAGAAAACAAAACUAAAAUAAUAAAAAAGACAAUUAAACAAGAGCCAGAUUAACGCUCUAAAUUUUGGAACUUCUUAUUUGUUGUAUAACAUUGGCCAAAUCCCAAAUUAGAUCUAAAGAUUUAUCUGGAUUAUAACCCAAUCCAUUGAGUCGUCCUAUAGAAAUGAAAAAUGAGACGCUAAUUUUCAGCAAUUAUACGAACAUCGUUAUACAACAACAGAAUACACCUCCAGCCCUCAAACAUCGACUUAUCCACAUUAGUGUCCACAUUCAGAUAUAUUGUAUCGAAAUAUGGUAUACAAACUCUUUAUUCACUAUUGUAUUCUAAUGGCCAGAAAAGAAAAAACUGAUCCUCUGAUCCAUUUAUCCACAACUUGCCACUUGUUCUUCUUUCUGAUCCAUUUAUCCACAACAUUAUCCUUCGUCAAGAUCCAUCUAUUUAUUUACCUCUGAUCUUGAAUUCACUAAUUGAUCCAAUUGUGCAUUUCUCCUUCGUUUAUUCACGUCCAGUUAUUUUUGAUAUUUUGAAAAAAAAUAUAGUUGGACUUUCUAAAUUGCUAAGCAAUCAUUCAUGUGCAUGUUGAAGAAAAAGGAUUCAACUUCUGCUCACUCCCUACUUCCCAUGCGCUGAUUUGCAAAAUGUUUACCACAAUAGCUUCAAUAAAUGUGUUUUCAUUUCUCCUUUGAGAGGUUAGUUAUGAUGUUUAAGGGUUUUUGAGGGAUAUGUGAUAUUUUGUUCUUUGGUGUCGCUGGACCACUAAUUGUUGUAUCCUCUCUGAUGACAUAAUCUACUGGUUGCUCUAUAAACCUAUCCAAAACCAUAAAGUUCCAUCCUUUAUUUUUAUUCCGCAGAUGGUACUUGGAAAAGUUUGUGAAAGGACAAUGGGAUAAAGAUGACUGUGUUCUUGAGUGGAAAAAUUACAUAGACUAUCCCUCGAUAACUCACCACUCUUCUUAUGUCUUUCAGCUCUAUUCAUGUUUUGUCUGAUGUUCCUAAUCAGUUCAUGAGCUCUCUUUAUGAGUUUCACUUUCCUCGGUUCUCAUGUAUUCAAACAUAAGAGUUUAGGUGGAAAAUUUCUUACUCGCAUUUUGGAGUUUUUUGGUGAGUUUAAUCCAACUAAACAAGCUGAUGCAAAAGAAUCCAGCCGAUGAUACUUGGCCCUUUAUGUUUCUCAAUAACAUUCUCUCUUUGAAACAAAUCCAUUGAGCAACUUGUUUAUAUAUAGGAAAGCAUUCUCUAUAUUACUUGGGACUUAGGAGGGAAAUCAAAAUAGAAUUAAGGAGAAUGUUGUAUUCUUAUUUUGGCAACCAAGCUGUAGGCCUUUUCCGGGAUUGCUUCAGCAAUUUAAUAAUAGUUGAUGUUAUCAUAUGCAAAAAUUCGUUUGGGGGUGCUGACUUCGUCUUCUUCUUGAUCAGCUGGUGGUCCGCAUCAUUUCUUUGUUUAUUGUAUGGACUAGAAAGGUAAAUAAAAUCUUCCGUCCUUAGAAACAUUCUUCAUGCAAAACUUAACUGAAAUUAAAAAAAAAAACUUAACUGAAAUUUAAAUUUUCCAAAAUCCUGAACCAUUUUACUGUGCUUACACUUUCUGGCUCAUGAACUCUAAAGAGUUGACACAUACUUGUAGAGUACUUGGACCAUUGGCAUCAUCACACUUCACAACAGAGGUGCGUACGAGGGAAACCAUCCGUUGAAAUCACUGUUCUAAAAUACACACAAUGUUAGGAAACAACUGUCUUUCGUCGUUCAUAUGGAUGCAGAGUUGCCGAUUUGAUUUACAGAGUCAAUAUGAGUUAGUAAAUGUCUUGCUCUAAAAAAAAAUACACACAAUGUGGUCGUCUAAGCGCCAUAUAUACGCUGUACGGGUGCAUAACGUACUGAAUUUGGUGGUUCGGUUUAUUUAUACGGCAUAGUCUAUUUUAGAUAUUGUGGUUAGUAUUAACGAAGAAAAUGAUUAUAAUGAACAAGUCAAAUAUUCAAAUUACUCUAGAAGUAUGCGUGGAUUCAUAUUUUAUAUGAACUUAUGAAGGCUUGCACAUUUUGUUGAAGUAGUUGUAUUUUAUCGUUCUUGUUCAACAUAUUUAAACGUAUAAUGUAACUCUUUGUUUCACAUCUGUUUUUUUUUUACAAAAAUGAAGUCAUCUUAUUAUAUAUUCAGAAUGCUACUAUUUAUCGUAGAUAAGAAAAUAAUAAGAACUGUAUAAAUUUAUGAUAAGAAUAUGGAUAUGCCAAUUUACUUACUAAAUAUUAUAUUUUUUCUUUGAAACAUUUACCGUUAUACCUCGCAUAAAUAUCUGCAUAUACAGCUAAGCAGUAGUUCAUAGUGUAUUUUAGAACACUGGUUGAAAUCCCCUAGACUAUAUUUACGAAGUGAUUUUGCCACAUAUUCUCUAUACAAUCAUUUUUACAAAAACAAUGAUGACAUGGCUAAUAAGAUUGAUGACAUGGCUUAUAGUUAAUAUGACAUGAACAAUCACAUUUAUUACUGACAUAUAUUUUUGGUAAACUUUAUAGAAUAUAGCAAUAACUAAUACAUUACAUUUAAUGUUGAUUUAUAUUUUUGGUAAACUUCUUAAAAUAUGGUAAUAAUUUAUAAAUCAUCACUAAAAUAAAUAUAUUGAAAUAUGCAUUAUAAAUUUCAAAAUACAUUAUUUAACUGUAUUUUUAUAAUUGUACAAUUUUUAUUACUAAUAUUUUCAAAAUUUUCUACAUCUUUUUUAAUAUAUGAAUAAAUUGUUAAUCGUAAUUACAUUAGUUUCUUUUAGAUACCUACAAAUUUUAUAAAUAUUAUUUAGUUAUAAUUUUUAAUAACUAUACAAUUUUAUAUGAUUUUUUAGUAAUUUUAUAUAAGCUAAUACAUUUAACCAAAAUAAAUAGAUAAAAAAUUUAUCUAAGAUUUGAAUUUUAAACAUAUUACAUAUAUAUUAUUAAAUGUAAUUUAAAGUAAACAAAAUUAUUUUUUUCAUAAUUUUAUGCUUAAAUAAUCAAUUUUAUAUUAAAUAUUAGUCAAAAAUAAUAAAAUAUAUAAUAUUAAUAAAUUUUAUUUGAAAUAUAGUUUAACUUUUGAAAAAUUUAUCACAAACACAUAGUAGGUCUAUAUAUAUGAAACAACACAUUAUGAUUUCUAUUCAAAACAGGCACACGUGUAACCUAAGCAGAGGCUUGGUCCGUCUCUUUUUACUCCACGUGUACAUUCAUUAAUUUCCGUGCCUCUCUCAAAAUCUCGACUCUGGUAAUAAAAGUCUCACUUGGUCGCUGAAUUUUCCUCUAUAAGAAUCUCACUUGGUCGCUGAUUUUUCCUCUCUCUCUCAUCAGAUCAAGAAUCAUCAAAUCAAGAAUGACAAGCGAGGUGAGAGAGAAGAAGAUCAAGACCAAUGGGAUUUGGUUAAACGUGGCUGAGAAAGGAGAUGAGGGAGAACCUUUAGUUCUGUUACUCCAUGGCUUCCCUGAGACAUGGUUCUCGUGGCGUCACCAGAUCGAUUUCCUGUCAAGCCAUGGUUACCACGUAGUUGCUCCAGAUCUCCGAGGCUACGCUGACUCCGAUUCUCCUCCGACCCAUGAGUCUUACACUGUGAGCCACCUCGUUGCUGAUGUCAUCGGUUUGCUCGAUCACUACGGCACUGCUCAGGUGAAACUGAUCUCUCAUCUUAUGAAAGAUUCCAACGGUUAGAUUUAGAUCAGUAUAUGAAAAUAUUUUACGUUUCUCAAUGUUAUAGGCUUUUGUGGCUGGACAUGACUGGGGAGCCAUCAUAGGUUGGUCUCUAUGCUUGUUUAGACCAGACAGAGUCAAAGGUUUCGUAAGUCUCUCUUGGAAAAUGGGAGAGACAACAACAGAUUCAGAACAUGGCAUCAUGCUCGGUUUUGAAGAUCCCAUGAGGAUUGAUCCCAGAAGAGAUCGUUUCCCGUGCUGCAUCGUCUGGACACCUCUCCCCUUCAUUACAUGGCUGGUUCCCUUCAUCGGCCACGUUGGUAUCUGCAGAGAAGAUGGUGUCAUCCUCGACUUCGCAGGACCUAACUUCGUCUGUGUUGACAAUUUUGCUUUUGGAGCUGUGUCUCGUUACAUCCAGAUCAACAAGGCUAAGGUAACCUUUGCAAAGAUGCUGCCUUUCGUUUUGUUUCCUUUGCUGCAAGUUAACAACUUUGGCUUGGUUUGAUCAGGAAUCAUCUCUUUCGUCCGGCUCAUGUUUGUUCAAUGAGGAAGGAGACACUCAUGAGAAAGAGCCAACGUGGGAUGAUGCACUGAGGAAAGGCACGCAAGAGUACCAACACUAUUCGUAUAACAUAUUGACAUGCAACUGUCAUUCCUUUGUAGCCAACAACCUGAACCGUCUUGCGAUAAGAUCAGGUGGAUGGAACGUGGUGAAUCUCGCGGCGCUAGUGUUCCUCAAGGGACGUUGGGUGAGCAAAACUGCGAUGGUCAAGUCUUUACUGCCUACAGUU